rnacentral:rRNA from 1 species
UAUACGACUCUCGGCAACGGAUAUCUCGGCUCUCGCAUCGAUGAAGAACGUAGCGAAAUGCGAUACUUGGUGUGAAUUGCAGAAUCCCAUGAACCAUCGAGUCUUUGAACGCAAGUUGCGCCCGAGGCCUUUCGGUUGAGGGCAUGCCUGCCUGGGCGUCACGC